rnacentral:rRNA from 1 species
GUAGGUGGCAAGCGUUGUCCGGAAUUAUUGGGCGUAAAGCGCGCGCAGGCGGUUCUUUAAGUCUGAUGUGAAAGCCCACGGCUCAACCGUGGAGGGUCAUUGGAAGCUGGAGAACUUGAGUACAGAAGAGGAAAGCGGAAUUCCACGUGUAGCGGUGAAAUGCGUAGAGAUGUGGAGGAACACCAGUGGCGAAGGCGGCUUUCUGGUCUGUAACUGACGCUGAGGCGCGAAAGCGUGGGGGAGCAAACAGGAUUAGGUACCCUGGUAGUCCACGCCGUAAACGAUGAGUGCUAAGUGUUAGGGGGGUUUCCGCCCCCCUUAGUGCUGCAGCUAACGCAUUAAGCACUCCGCCUGGGAGUACGGCCGCAAGGCUG